rnacentral:rRNA from 1 species
GAUGAACGCUGGCGGCGUGCCUAAUACAUGCAAGUAGAACGCUGAAGGAAGGAGCUUGCUCUUUCCGGAUGAGUUGCGAACGGGUGAGUAACGCGUAGGUAACCUGCCUGGUAGCGGGGGAUAACUAUUGGAAACGAUAGCUAAUACCGCAUAACAGUAGAUGUUGCAUGAUAUCUACUUAAAAGGUGCAAUUGCACCACUACCAGAUGGACCUGCGUUGUAUUAGCUAGUUGGUGAGGUAACGGCUCACCAAGGCGACGAUACAUAGCCGACCUGAGAGGGUGAUCGGCCACACUGGGACUGAGACACGGCCCAGACUCCUACGGGAGGCAGCAGUAGGGAAUCUUCGGCAAUGGACGGAAGUCUGGCCGAGCAACGCCGCGGGAGGGAAGAAGGGUGUCGGAUCGUAAAGCUCUGUUGUAAGAGAAGAACGAGUGUGAGAGUGGAAAGUUCACACUGUGACGGUAUCUUACCAGAAAGGGACGGCUAACUACGUG